GAUGAAAACCUCUGAAACGUCGAUGUGUCAGCUUCCCAAGCUGAAGGUCGCGGGUUCGAAUCCCGUUUCCCGCUCCA
rnacentral:tRNA from 1 species